rnacentral:ncRNA from 1 species
AUUUAAAGUUAAUUCUAACUUUGAUAUUUAUUAUUAAAUUAUAUUUAUAAAUAAAUUUUUGUAUAAAAUAUUUUAAAAUUUAAAUAAUUAUUUAAUUUUUUAUAAUAAAUAGAAUUUAUAAAAUAAAGAAAUUUAAAUUUAGUAAUUUUAAAAUAAUUAAUAAAUUUUAGUGCCAGCAAUUGCGGUUAAACUAAUAAUUAAUUAAAUAUUAUAAUUUUUUUAAUUAAUUGAAUAAAAUUUUAUAUAUUUAAUUAAUUUAAAUAUUUGUUAGGUAAAAUUUUAAAAUUUAUUUAAAAUUAAAUAUAAAAAUUUUUUAAUGAAGUUAAUUAAAUAAAAAUAUAAACUAGAAUUAGAUACUCUAUUAUUUUUAUAAAAUUUAUAAAAAAAAUAAAGUAGUAAAAGAUUUAAAAUUUAAAACUUAAAGGAUUAUGGCAGUAUUUUUAUCAAUUUAGAGGAACCUGUUAAUUAAUUGAUAUUCCACGAUUAAUUUUACUUAAUUUAUUUAAUUUAUAUAUCAUUGUUAUAAAAAUUUUUUUUAGAAAUAAAAAUUUAAAAAUUUAUAGAAAAAAUUAUAUCAAAUCAAGAUAUAGUUUAUAAUUAAGAAUUUUUAUGGGUUAUAAUUAAAAAUAUUAUUGGAAUUAAAUUUGAAAUAAUUUAAAAAAAUUAGAUUUAAAAGUAAUUUAAUUAAUUUAAUUUAAAUGAUUAAAGUUUAAAAUUAUGUACAUAUUGCCCGUCACUUUCAUUUUAAAUUGAAAUAAGUCGUAACAUAGUAAAGAUACUGGAAAGUGUUUUUAGAAAGAU